rnacentral:rRNA from 1 species
UACGGGGGGGGCAAGCGUUGUUCGGAAUUACUGGGCGUAAAGGGCUCGUAGGCGGCCAACUAAGUCAGACGUGAAAUCCCUCGGCUUAACCGGGGAACUGCCUCUGAUACUGGAUGGCUUGAGAUUGGGAGAGGGAUGCAGAAUUCCAGGUGUAGCGGUGAAAUGCGUAGAUAUCUGGAGGAAUACCGGUGGCGAAGGCGGCAUCCUGGACCGACAUUGACGCUGAGGAGCGAAAGCGUGGGUAGCAAACAGG